rnacentral:rRNA from 1 species
GACGAACGCUGGCGGCGUGCUUAACACAUGCAAGUCGAACGGAAAGGCCCUGCUUUUGUGGGGUGCUCGAGUGGCGAACGGGUGAGUAACACGUGAGUAACCUGCCCUUGACUUUGGGAUAACUUCAGGAAACUGGGGCUAAUACCGGAUAGGAGCUCCUGCUGCAUGGUGGUGGUUGGAAAGUUUCGGCGGUUGGGGAUGGACUCGCGGCUUAUCAGCUUGUUGGUGAGGUAGUGGCUUACCAAGGCUUUGACGGGUAGCCGGCCUGAGAGGGUGACCGGCCACAUUGGGACUGAGAUACGGCCCAGACUCCUACGGGAGGCAGCAGUGGGGAAUAUUGCACAAUGGGCGGGAGCCUGAUGCAGCAACGCCGCGUGCGGGAUGACGGCCUUCGGGUUGUAAACCGCUUUCGACUGUGACGAAGCGUGAGUGACGGUAAUGGGUAAAGAAGCAACGGCUAACUACGUG